GGUGGCUCAGUGUUAGAGUACUUGCCUUGCAUGCAUGAGGCCCUGGGUUCGAUUCCUCAGUACCA
rnacentral:tRNA from 1 species